rnacentral:lncRNA from 10 species
UCUCAAUUGAUAUGCAUUGUUUCAAUACUUUGAUACAUAUUUCCAAGUUACUUUCUUUUUUCUUUUUUUUUUUUUUUUGAGACGGAGUCUCUCUCUUUCACCCGGGCUGGAGUGCAGUGGCGUGAUCUUGUCUCACUGCAAGCUCCACCUCCCGGGUUCACGCCAUUCUCCUGCCUCAGCUUCCGGAGUAGCUGGGACUACAGGCCCCCGCCACCACGCCCGGCUAUUGUUUUGUAUUUUUAGUAGAGACGGGGUUUCACCGCAUUAGCGUCUCGAUCUCCUGACCUCGUGAUCCACCUGCCUCGGCCUCCCAAAGUGCUGGGAUUACAGGCAUGAGCCACCGCUCCCGGCCAUUUCCAAGUUACUUUCUAAGAAAGUCUGUCCGUUUAUAUGAUCUCCAGCAGUGUAUAAAAGUACCUUGGACCUUUGCUUAUUUAUUAUUUCCUUCAAUUUUCAGCAUCUUUUGCAUUUAGUCGCCACGGGAUUUUUUGCUGUCAAGUGCAUUCUCUAUAUUUGAGAAUAUCCAGUUCUGUCCUGGAAAAGGAAAAUGAAUAGGAUAACUCACGUGCUAAGCAGAGCUCUCUCUCCACCCCUUUUGUGUCCAGAAUUGGUGGGUUCUUGGACUCACUGACUUCAAGAAUGAAGCCGUGGACCCUCACGGUGAGUGUUACAGUUCUUAAAGGCGGCGUGUCUGGAGUUUGUUCCUUCUGAUGUUUGGAUGUGUUCGGAGUUUCUUCCUUCUGGUGGGUUUGUGGUCUCGCUGGCUCAGGAGUGAAGCUGCGGACUUUGGCGGUGAGUGUUACAGCUCUUAAGGCGGUGCGUCUGGAGUUGUUUUUUCCUCCUGGUGGUUCAUGGUCUUGCUGGCUUCAGGAGUGAAGCUGUAGACCUUCGCGGUGAGUGUUACAGCUCAUAAAGGCAGUGUGGACCAAAAGAGUGAGCAGCAGCAAGAUUUAUUGCAAAGAGCGAAAGAACAAAGCUUCCACAGUGUGGAAGGCU